CCUACGGGUGGCAGCAGUGGGGAAUAUUGCACAAUGGCGCAAGCCUGAUGCAGCCAUGCCGCGUGUGUGAAGAAGGCCUUCAGGUUGUAAAGCACUUUCAGCGGGGAGGAAGGCGCCAAGGUUAAUAACCUUGGCGAUUGACGUUACCCGCAGAAGAAGCACCGGCUAACUCCGUGCCAGCAGCCGCGGUAAUACGGAGGGUGCAAGCGUUAAUCGGAAUUACUGGGCGUAAAGCGCACGCAGGCGGUCUGUCAAGUCGGAUGUGAAAUCCCCGGGCUCAACCUGGGAACUGCAUUCGAAACUGGCAGGCUAGAGUCUUGUAGAGGGGGGUAGAAUUCCGGGUGUAGCGGUGAAAUGCGUAGAGAUCUGGAGGAAUACCGGUGGCGAAGGCGGCCCCCUGGACAAAGACUGACGCUCAGGUGCGAAAGCGUGGGGAGCAAACAGGAUUAGAUACCCGCGUAGUC
rnacentral:rRNA from 1 species